rnacentral:rRNA from 1 species
CUCAGACAGCUAGGAGGUUGGCUUAGAAGCAGCCAUCCUUUAAAGAAAGCGUAAUAGCUCACUAGUCGAGUCGGCCUGCGCGGAAGAUGUAACGGGGCUCAAACUGGUCACCGAAGCUGCGGCUGCAUACUUUGUAUGCGGGGUAGGGGAGCGUUCUGUAAGCCUGCGAAGGUGUGUUGAGAAGCAUGCUGGAGGUAUCAGAAGUGCGAAUGCUGACAUGAGUAACGACAAUGCGGGUGAAAAACCCGCACGCCGGAAGACCAAGGGUUCCUGCGCAACGCUAAUCGGCGCAGGGUGAGUCGGCCCCUAAGGCGAGACCGAAAGGUGUAGUCGAUGGGAAACGGGUUAAUAUUCCCGUACCUUGGAUAGCUGCGAUGGAGAGACGGAGAAGGCUAGGUGAGCCGGGCGACGGUUGUCCCGGUUUAAGCGAGUAGGGAGUGGACUUAGGCAAAUCCGGGUCCACAAUCCCGAGACGUGACGACGACUGCUCAUAGAGCGGGAAGUCAUUGAUGCCAUGCUUCCAGGAAAAUCUUCUAAGCUUCAGGCUAUUCGAGACCGUACCCCAAACCGACACAGGUGGUCAGGUAGAGAAUACCAAGGCGCUUGAGAGAACUCGGGUAAAGGAACUAGGCAAAAUGGUGCCGUAACUUCGGGAGAAGGCACGCUGGCAGUAAGUGAAGCCCCUGCGGGUGGAGCUGAGACCAGUCGAAGAUACCAGGCCCCUGCGACUGUUUAUUAAAAACACAGCACUGUGCAAACACGAAAGUGGACGUAUACGGUGUGACGCCUGCCCGGUGCCGGAAGGUUAAAAGGAGGAGUGAGAGCUCCGAAUUGAAGCCCCGGUAAACGGCGGCCGUAACUAUAACGGUCCUAAGGUAGCGAAAUUCCUUGUCGGGUAA